UUCACAAUCAUGCGAUGGGUAAAAAAAUACCCAUUAGAGGAAACCCCUUAUAUUAAUAAAACGGUUAUAUUUUUACACAUUAAUGGGUGAAAAAAUAGUUUGACAACGAAGCGUAUCCAGUACACCGUUGGUGUAAAAAGCAGCUUGUUUCUGCUUUAAACUUUAAUAAAAACUUAAAAAAUAUCUGCAUCGGGACACUCUCGCAACAACACAAAUCGGAAAAUGGAGGAACUAAAAAAACGCAGAGUCAUACGUAAAGCUGAACGUUGAUGGCUAAUGUGCGUUUACGGAGAAAACACUUCUGGCGAUUUGUAACAGCAAACUCAACCUCAAUACAAGCCGCAAGGAUGAUCUUGUGGUUGCUUUUCAUCCUCUAUGUGGAAGUUCGGGUGGAGGAUGAGGUGCAAGAACCUCAAUUCUAGAGUGCUUUGAGAAUAGGUCGUAUGUGCAAAAGAGAGCCUCUCUUCGGUUCCAUUCUCUUUCGAUUAUUACAAAGCUAUGCACAAUUUUACGUUGGAUUUUUUGGCAGAUAUCUAAAGACAAUAGCUUUGUCUAGCGUGCUAAAGUGAAAAUGUUGCAGAAAAUGCUAAACUUGCCGAUCUAUUAGCGAAAGAGAGCGUGAACAAAGAGAGUCUCUCUUUUGUACAUACGACCUAUUCUCAA